AUUUUUUAGUCACGAAUUAUAAAAUUUUAAGUUCACAAAUCAAAUCGUUGAGGUCACAGAUUAUGAAAUUUUAAGGUCACAAACCAUCGCAACCUCACCCAAAGCUAACACAACUACCACCGGCAAAACACACAACCGAACACGACAAGAGAUUGCACCACACAACCGUCGACCACCAUCACUUUGCCGACACCACUACCACCGGCAAAUCAGGAAUGAGCAGAGAAGAGGCAAGCUCCACGCGGUCCACAUGGACCACACCACUACCUAGAUCCAUCGCACUGCAACCUAGAUCCACCAUACCGGGCGACGCUGUUGCGAAACACACACCAUACCGCCACCUAGAUCCACACCAUACCACCACACCACACCAUAUCGUCAGGCAGUCCAGUUUAGUAGAGAAGAAGCACGCUCACAACUCCAUCGAAGUCUCCGAUCAGAGAAGAAUCGACUCUCAUACCCCCAGGUAAAUGCCAUGGACCGCCGGUGAAAUUCCCAAUCGUCGCAAGAUGCAAUUGUGGGUUAACGGGAGAGAAGAUGCUAUGUGAGAUUGAAAAUCUUAGGGAUGAAAUUGCCGAUGUAAAUGGCGAUGACUGAUGGGCGAAGGGAGAAGAGAGAUGAUGUCGGAGAUGGCAGUGAUUAGUGAAAAAUGAGAGAGAAGCGAGAGAGAUCUAGAGAGAGAAGGAAAUUGUGUAGCACUGCUUACGGUUUGGGUGGACUGGUGGGGCGGUUGGG
rnacentral:lncRNA from 1 species